rnacentral:rRNA from 1 species
UGGGCAACCUGCCCCAGACUCAGGGAUAACCCCGGGAAACCGGGGCUAAUACCCGAUACUCCGAUCGAACCACAUGGCUCGAUCGGGAAAGCUCCGACGGUCUGGGAUGGGCCCGCGGCCUAUCAGCUUGUUGGUGGGGUAAUGGCCUACCAAGGCGACGACGGGUAGCCGGCCUGAGAGGGCGACCGGCCACACUGGGACUGAGAUACGGCCCAGACUCUUACGGGAG